rnacentral:rRNA from 1 species
AUUGAACGCUGGCGGCACGCCUAACACAUGCAAGUCGAGCGGAUGAAGCGAGCUUGCUCCUGGAUUCACCGGCGGACGGGUGAGGAAUGCGUAGGAAUCUGCCUGGUAGUGGGGGAUAAAGUUCGGUAACGGGCUCGGAUACCGCAUAUGUCCUGAGGGAGAAAGUGAGGGAUCUUCCGACCUCGCGCUACCAGAUUAUCCUAGGUCGGAUUAGUCAGUUGGUGUGGUAGAGGCCUUGCAGGGCGACGAUCCGUAACUGGACUGAGAGGAUGAUCAGUGACAGUGGAACUGAGACACGGUCCAGACUCAUACUGGAAGGAGCAGUGGGGAAUAUUGGUCUAGGGGAGAAAGCCGGAGCCAGCCGUGGCGCGUGUGUGAAGAAGGUCUUGGGAUUGUAAAGCACUUCACGUUGGGAGGGAGGGCAGUAAGUUAAGACGUUGCUGUUUUGACGUUACCAACAGAAUAAGCACCGGCUAACUUCGUG